GGGCCUAUUAGCUCAGUUGGUUAGAGUGUGGUGCUGAUAACACGAAGGUUGCGAGUUCAAUCCCUGUUUGGUCCC
rnacentral:tRNA from 1 species